ACCUCUUUAAUAUAUGAAUAGUAUAUAUGUUUUCCAAACAUAACGAUCCAACCCUCAGGAAAGAAGUA
rnacentral:tRNA from 1 species